GCGUGGGUGGCUCAGUUGGUUGAGCGUCCGACUUUAGCUCAGGUCAUGAUCUCACAGUUUGUGAGUUCGAGUCCCGCAUCAGGCU
rnacentral:tRNA from 1 species